GAUGAGUUGUUUUGGACCCGUGUCUAUCGGUAGAUCCCCCGACUCUUUGUGCGGCUGACUACCGGUGCCCUGUCCCGUCAUUUGUGUGGCUAAUGUUACUGUUGCCUUUCAAGUGCUUGCGUGCUAGUACCCAAAAUACGGGAAGUUGUGCUUCAUACAAAGUUGCCUCGUGGUGGACGCCUUCGGGUGUGCUACUGCGGCCAAAUGGCGUUUGCGGCGUUGCCUYGUGGUGCUGACACGGAUUCGUGCCUGGUGCUCUCAAGGCAGCAUUGCUCCCGCUGUUGGUUUCGGAUGUUGCUCACGAUGUAGGCUUGUGGCCAUAAUGAUUGCCCCGAUCCGACCCUAACAUGCUCUCCGAAUUUGACGACAACCGGAACAGGUGUUGCCUCUACCUCUCCAUGUUUUGUGGUAGGAUACGCAGCAUUYUGGAACGACCCUCAAACUAGGACGAGCUUGGGCCUAACACGCUCUCCGAAUUUGGCGACAACCGGAACAUGUGUUGCCUCUACCUCUCCACGGUUUGUGGUAGGAUACGCAGCAUUUUGUAACGACCCUCAAACUCGGACAAGCUUGGGCCUAACAUGCUCUCCGAAUUUGGCGACAACCGGAACAUGUGUUGCCUAUACCUCGGAUACGCGGCAUUUUGUAACGACCCUCAAACUCGGACGAGCUUGGCCCGCUCAAUUGUGACAACCGGCCCGACUGUUGCCUCUACCUUGCCACGUAAGUGGACGGGYGGACAACAGCCGAUGCUGGACGUCAAGAGGACGUGCU
rnacentral:misc_RNA from 1 species